rnacentral:rRNA from 1 species
UACGUAGGGUGCAAGCGUUAAUCGGAAUUACUGGGCGUAAAGCGUGCGCAGGCGGUUAUGUAAGACAGUUGUGAAAUCCCCGGGCUCAACCUGGGAACUGCAUCUGUGACUGCAUAGCUAGAGUACGGUAGAGGGGGAUGGAAUUCCGCGUGUAGCAGUGAAAUGCGUAGAUAUGCGGAGGAACACCGAUGGCGAAGGCAAUCCCCUGGACCUGUACUGACGCUCAUG